AACCGACAAGUCCGCAACUUCACUGGAAUGCAGUCAGAGACUGCUGUUGCAUAGGGAGUGCACUGACCGAUGCACGGUGUGGGACAGUGUUCAUAGGGCCUGGAUUCGAGAAAGCUCGGGAACGAGCGGCAUCUGUAGCGUCGGUUCCUGUGCUUGCCUCCCGGAACUAGGUGCAAACUACUCGCUGGUCUGCACGGUGCGGUGCCGUAUGCUCCAGUGACUGGACAGCUAGUUCGCCAGUGGUGGUUAGGGUGAAAGUUUUCUGACCUUGUAGAAAUUCGGUUGCGGUAUCCUAACGGGAGUUUGAUGCCAUUAGGGAGACAUUUCCGGUUCAAAGCCCUGAUCGCAGGUUCGGGGAACCUGGUGCCGCAACUCGCUAGCGAGGUAUUCGGUAAGCGGGCCUCGGGCGUCUUGAUCGCUGCUGGAGCGCGUUCCUGUUGACCAGGCACGGAGAGUACGACGCUGGCCGGCACGUGAUCCUACUCGCAAGCGUACUGAAAAAGUCCGUGCUCCGAGACAAGUCACGGAGAUGCGCGCCACCGUGCAAGCCUUCUUUACCCGAUUGGUUUGUGGUGUGCAAGUCACGUUCUGAGCCGCAUACGACUAGAGCGUGGAGCAGUGCAAGGCACUGCAUCAAUUACCCCCUUGGCGCUAGCUGCCACUGGUGACGCUUUCACCAGACGUGAAACCGGUUCCCUGUGGACUAGUUCCGUGGUCGCUCGUGUCUCGGGCUUGCUGCGUUUGGCGACGAGACGUUUGAAUGGACUGCUAUGGAACAACUAAGUACAAGUGAGCGAGCCAGCAAACGCUUUUACCAUAGUAUUGUUGUUGGUGUUGUUGGUGUUGCACAUGCUGGAAACCGAGACGCGAAAGGCAGCACCAGAUGCACUACGGGGGAGCGCAUCAGAGACUCGGGGGCUGCUUCGCUUUGCCAUCACUGUGCAGUCGCGUCUUCGAAUAGGAUAUGUAAUCGGAUGAUUGCAGCUUCGAAAGGAGCAAAACUAUGGUGCAUUCAGACCCUGGAAUUGUUUUGCCGUCGCCUCUCGGGGUACGCCUGCGGCUCACGUGAGUGAAUGGGCAUCGAAUUCCGGAAUACCAGUAUCAGGGCGCCUUUUUUGUAUUUGUUUUGCUUUUCGCCCAGGUAUUCGAGCAUGGGAAUGCACGUUGUACAUUGGGGAAACGUCACGCAAAGAUUCUAGAAUGUCAUUGUUGUCAAUCGAAAAUCGGCAUCAAUUUGACAAGUCCGUCAUUCUAGUGGAUGCGGGGGAAUACACCGGCUUUCUCAUUGCCUCCAUCCUAGACGUUUGGCACCCAGACUAGAAUAUGUAGAGCUCCAUGCACAUGACUGACCACCUCGUCAGUCCAUUCCAAUGACUGAUUCUCUAAGAAAUACUACCAAAGAGACAAUAGGAUGCAAAGAUUUCGUAUCGUUGACUCGAAUGUCAGCGGUGUGACACCGAUGGAUAACGCAACAGACGUACGCCUCUACGCGAGGGAGUCGCGCGUCGAACAACACGCUGUCAGUUUCGCACUGAAACGCGAACGUUCAUUCCAGGAAGCGUGGAUUUUCGUUUCACUCGAUGCGACUCGGUUCGGGAGAAUGGGGUACUCGACCAGGGCAACCGCUGUUUUUAAGAAAGGGACAAAUGCGCAUUUCGCCAGCAUUAGCUUCAGGGGCAAUUCAGUGGUUUGGUAGCGUACCACUCGCGAAAUGCACUGGACCGUUCAACACCAUGUCCGUCGUCGAAGCACUUGGUGGCUCCUCGUUACCGCAUUCAUGUGACCAGCUUUCAGAUAAGUUUGCUUUUCAAUACUCAAAAGUCGUCCAGGAGUACGCAACCGAGAUUGGCGUUCAGCUGCUCUUUGUCGCAACUUGCGUUUCUUAUCGUAUGCAUUCGGAAGCGUUUUAUAUGAUGCUGUACGCCAUUUUCACGAUGAUGGAUUCAUGGACAAGUCGUUCGCAUCUGCGACAUGACGUUCCUCGAUAAAUCGCUUUCGGUCUUUCCCAGCCCUGAACUGCAGUAUUGCUUGUCCAGUCGUGAGUGCGAGGAACCAGAAUGGCUCGCCUCGGUCGCUGAGCGUGCUCGUACCAAAGCCGAUGACGACAAUGCACCUGAGGAAUAGAAUAGGCAUACGUAGAGCAUGCGAUUUGGGGUCUCAUUGUCCAGCCAGUGCAUCUGAGUCCCGGAAAUGAAAACGAUGGCAUGUGGCGUCCAUAUCUAUGCUAUGCAGCGCUGUGGACGAGAGGAAGUACCACAACACGAAAAACGGAAUGGAAAUAUCCUCACCAAAGAAGAUCAGGUCGGACAGGAAUGAAAAAAGUGUCGAAGCGACCCGAUCAAUCUGGAACCGUUGCCAAGGCCUCGCGACUCGAACAGAUCUUCGAUGAGCAUCUUCCACAAAGAACGGUGCACCAAGUCAUUAGGGAUCCUAAAGCUUCGCUGUAGACGGGCACUCGCCGAGCUCCACUCGCAUGCACGCUGCUCGUCA